GGGGGGAGUUUGGUGGUGGCAAAAUUGGGGUGAGAUGGGGGCAAAAUUGGGCUGAAUUGGUGCCAAAUGUGGGGGUUUGGUGGUGACAAAGUUGGGUUUGGUGGUGCCAAAAUUGGGGUGAGAUGGUGCCAAAAUUGGGGGUUUGGUGGUGGCAAAGUUGGGUUUGGUGGUUCUAAACUGGGGUGAAAUGGUGCUAAACUGGGGUGAAGGGGUGCUAAACUGGGGGGUAAUGGCGGUGCUAAAAACUGGGGGGGGUUGUGGAGCCAAAAUGGGGUGAAACGGUGCCAAAAUGGUGGCUUUUGGUGGCUUUCCCAGCUGUUUUGGGGCUCCAUUUUGGGGCGAUUUCUGAGCUUUUCCAGCCGUUUUGGGGCUCCAUUUUGGGACAAUUUCUGAGCUUUUCCAGCUGUUUUGUGGCUCCACUUUGGGGCAAUUUCUGAGCUUUCCCAGCCCUUUUGGGGCUCCAUUUUGGGGCGAUUUCUGAGCUUUUCCAGCCCUUUUGGGGCUCCACUUUGGGGCCCUUUUGGGGCCGUCGCGUUGUCGCGUCUCUGGGGGGCCGAUUUUUGGGGCUGUUUUCUGGGCUUUUCUUCGGGUUCGUUUAUUUUAUGGGGGGGUGGGGGUCUCCUUCUGGGGGUCCCUCACACUCCGUGCCCCCCAGCCCCGACAGCGCCGUCCCCGGGGACGUGCUGGUGCUCACCAAGCCGCUGGGCACGCAGGUGGCCGUCACUGCGCACCAAUGGCUGGAUAACGUGAGUUUUGGGGUCGGGGGGACAAAAUGGGGGGGGUCGGGGUCUCCGUAGGGGACGGGGAGGUGCAGAAGACCCCAGAUGGGUCUGGGGGGCAUCGCCGUGUCCCCAAAGGGACCUCAGGUGGGGCCGGGGGGCAACUGGGGGUCCCCAAAGGGACACACUGGCUUUGUGGUCACCCCAUUGGAUUUGUGGUCACCCCAUUUAGUUUGGGGUCACCCCAUUGGGUUUGGGAUCCUCCUAUCUUGGGGUUGCCCCAUUGGGUUUGGGGUCGCCCUAUUGGGUUUAGGAUCACCCCAUUGGGUUUGGGGUCAUCCCAUGGGGUUUGGGAUCCUCCUGUCUUUGGGGUCACCCCUUUGGGUUUGGGGUCCUCCUGUCUUUGGGGUCCUCCUGUCUUUGGGGUCACCCCAUUGGGUUUGGGGUCACCCCAUUGGGUUUGCGGUCACCCCAUUGGGUUUGGGGUCACCCCGUGGGGUUUGGGGUCCUCCUAUCUUUGGGUCACCCCAUUGGGUUUGGGAUCCUCCUAUCUUUGGAGUCUACUCAUUGGGUUUGGGGUCACCCCAUGGGGUUUGGGGUCCUCCUGUCUUUGGGGUCACCCCAUUGGGUUUAGGGUCACCCCAUUGGGUUUGGGAUCCUCCUAUCUUUGGGUCACCCCAUUGGGUUUGGGAUCAUCCCGUUGGGUUUGGGAUCACCCCAUUGGUUUGGGAUCAUCCC
ensembl:lncRNA